rnacentral:lncRNA from 1 species
CCUGUUGCUCUCCUAACACAGGCUGUAGUCCCCUUUCUCUCCUGCCAAUCUCUUUCUGGAUAUAGUCCCCUAUGUCAUGUUCCUCUUAAAAGGAUUCAAUUGGCAUCAAGUACAGUUGUCCCCAGGUGGGCUGACCCAUGUGAAGGAUUUGAAGGUAGCCUUUAAAUUUAUACAUCAUUAGUUUUCAAGUUGGGAGCCAGGCCAGCAAACACAAUGACAACCCAAAUGGAAAGAAGUCUCAUCUCAAACAAAGUUGAUUCUCUCUUAUGAUUCUAGCCAAACAGAAUAAAUUCCCCAGAGGAGAGCAUCAAGUCAUUUCCUGAGAUUAGACACUGGCAGAUCUCUAACAACAUAGGAGGAAUGGCAAGCAUCUUGAAAAUUUUUUCUCUGUUUAUAAGAGGUGAGAAGACUCUAAGGAAAAUACUCAUAAGAGUCCUUGUAAAAUGACAGCUAUGUAACCUUUAGGUGAAGUUACUGCACAUUUUCUUGGUUUCCAAAAUGAACUAUGGUGGACUCACCUUAUGCCACCCUCACCCCAGCCAGCUUAAAACUGCAUAGGUAGAAAGCAAG